rnacentral:tRNA from 1 species
UCCCUGGUGGCUCAAAGGGUAAAGCAUCUGCUUGUGAUGCGGGAGACCCAGGUUCAAUCCCUGGGUCCGGAA